rnacentral:rRNA from 1 species
GACGAACGCUGGCGGCGUGCUUAACACAUGCAAGUCGAACGGAAAGGCCCUGCUUUUGUGGGGUGCUCGAGUGGCGAACGGGUGAGUAACACGUGAGUAACCUGCCCUUGACUUUGGGAUAACUUCAGGAAACUGGGGCUAAUACCGGAUAGGAGCUCCUGCUGCAUGGUGGGGGUUGGAAAGUUUCGGCGGUUGGGGAUGGACUCGCGGCUUAUCAGCUUGUUGGUGGGGUAGUGGCUUACCAAGGCUUUGACGGAUAGCCGGCCUGAGAGGGUGACCGGCCACAUUGGGACUGAGCUACGGCCCAGACUCCUACGGGAGGCAGCAGUGGGGAAUAUUGCACAAUGGGCGGAAGCCUGAUGCAGCAACGCCGCGUGCGGGAUGACGGCCUUCGGGUUGUAAACCGCUUUCGCCUGUGACGAAGCGUGAGUGACGGUAAUGGGUAAAGAAGCACCGGCUAACUACGUG